GACGAACGCUGGCGGCGUGCCUAAUACAUGCAAGUCGAGCGGAAGUUGAAGAGCUUGCUCUUCAACUUUAGCGGCGGACGGGUGAGUAACACGUGGGCAACCUGCCCUGCAGAUCGGGAUAACUCCGGGAAACCGGUGCUAAUACCGAAUAGUUUUCGCCACCUCCUGGUGGCGUACGGAAAGACGGUUUCGGCUGUCACUGCAGGAUGGGCCCGCGGCGCAUUAGCUAGUUGGUGGGGUAACGGCCCACCAAGGCGACGAUGCGUAGCCGACCUGAGAGGGUGAUCGGCCACACUGGGACUGAGACACGGCCCAGACUCCUACGGGAGGCAGCAGUAGGGAAUCUUCCGCAAUGGACGAAAGUCUGACGGAGCAACGCCGCGUGAGUGACGAAGGUUUUCGGAUCGUAAAACUCUGUUGUGAGGGAAGAACAAGUACCAACUAACUACUGGUACCUUGACGGUACCUCACCAGAAAGCCACGGCUAACUACGUGCCAGCCGCCGCAGUAAGAC
rnacentral:rRNA from 1 species